AUGAAACUCGACCCCUAAGGUGAUAAAACGGGGGUUGGAAGUUUGUAUGAAAGUCCUAUGUUUUUGAAGUAAGAGACUUGAAAUUUAAAAUGUAUGCUCUAUAGAUGGCAAGGAAGUGUCCAAAUAAUACAUCGUAAUCUAUAUAUAUAUAAGAGAAAGGUCACUGAUUGACAUCACGAGAACUCAAAAACCGCUGGAUGGUCCAUCCAUCCAAGAUGGACAAAGAUGAAAUUUGGCAGGGAGGUAGAUUAUAGUUAGUAGACGUCCGCUAAGAACGGAUUUUGCGAUAUUCCAUCGCUAAAGGGGUUUAAUUGG
rnacentral:misc_RNA from 1 species